GGCUUCGUGGUGUAAUGGUUAGCACUCUCAGCUCGUAUUCGAGAUGUCCAGUUUCGAAUCUCGGCGAGGACA
rnacentral:tRNA from 1 species